rnacentral:rRNA from 1 species
UACGAAGGGGGCUAGCGUUGUUCGGACUUACUGGGCGGAAAGCGCGCGCAGGCGGUCCUUCAAGUCAGAGGUGAAAGCCCAGAGCUCAACUCUGGAAUGGCCUUUGAGACUAGAGGACUUGGGUACGGGAGAGGUGAGUGGAAUUCCGAGUGUAGAGGUGAAAUUCGUAGAUAUUCGGAAGAACACCAGUGGCGAAGGCGGCUCACUGGCCCGUUACCGACGCUCAGGCGCGACAGCGUGGGGAGCAAACAGG